rnacentral:rRNA from 1 species
UGCAGUCGAACGAAGUAGCAAUACUUAGUGGCAAACGGGUGAGUAACAUGUGGGUAUCUGCCCUUCGGCCUGGAAUAACACGAGGAAACUUGUGCUAAUACCAGAUAAGUCUUUUAAGAGAAAGCUUUAUGCACCGAUGGAUGAGCCCGCACCUGAUUAGUUAGUUGGUGAGGUAAUAGCUCACCAAGACAAUGAUCAGUAGCUGAUUUGAGAGGAUGAUCAGCCACAUUGGGACUGAGACACGGCCCAAACUCCUACGGGAGGCAGCAGUGGGGAAUCUUGCACAAUGGGGGAAACCCUGAUGCAGCGAUGCCGCGUGAGUGAAGAAGGCCUUUGGGUUGUAAAGCUCUUUCGUCGGGGAAGAAAAUGACUGUACCCGAAUAAGAAGGUCCGGCUAACUUCGUGCCAGCAGCCGCGGUAAUACGAAGGGACCUAGCGUAGUUCGGAAUUACUGGGCUUAAAGAGUUCGUAGGUGGUUAAAAUAGUUGGUGGUGAAAUCCCAGAGCUUAACUCUGGAACUGCCAUCAAAACUUUUUAGCUAGAGUAUGAUAGAGGAAAGUAGAAUUUCUAGUGUAGAGGUGAAAUUCGUAGAUAUUAGAAAGAAUACCAAUUGCGAAGGCAGCUUUCUGGAUCAUUACUGACACUGAGGAACGAAAGCAUGGGUAGCGAAGAGGAUUAGAUACCCUCGUAGUCCAUGCCGUAAACGAUGUGUGCUAGACGUUGGAAAUUUUAUUUUCAGUGUCGCAGCGAAAGCGAUAAGCACACCGCCUGGGGAGUACGACCGCAAGGUUAAAACUCAAAUGAAUUGACGGGGACCCGCACAAGUAGUGG